rnacentral:sRNA from 1 species
CACAUACUUAUUUUAUUAUUCACACAUAUCGACACAUCUGCCGGGGUGCUCGGUUACCUAAUAAGGUAACAAUAGCUUUAAUAGUUAUUAUCGGGUCGGUUUUAAGAUGGGAUAUGUGGACGCCUAAC